rnacentral:lncRNA from 1 species
GUGAGUUUCUGAUUUAAGCAUCAAAGGAUCCCCGUUAGAGCCAACCUUCCGAUCAAGAACUUAUUUUAUAAGUCUGAUUAUCAAAUUCUUACUAAUCGCCAUCCAACUCCAGCUAAUUCGGCUCAAGCCAGAAAUUCACAGCAAUAGAUGGGUUUGGAGGAAGAGAAUGAUGCGAAGUGAUAAAAAGGAAAGGGAGGGAAAAGAGGUCGUCAGCAAGAAAUAGAUCGGAGGAAAAGAGGAUGAAAAGGAAGGGGAGGGGGGAAGGAUAGGUUGUUCGUAAAAAAAGAUAGAGGUGGAGGGGACUGCCAUGGAGGGGGAUAGCUUAUAAGUGACUUAGAGGAGGAGCAUGAGAAGGAAAAAAAGAUGAAGAAAGAGAGGAGAUAGAGGAAUGAGUGAAAGUGGAGAGAGCCACGAUGGAGGAGGAAAA